rnacentral:rRNA from 1 species
UACGUAGGGGGCAAGCGUUGUCCGGAUUUAUUGGGCGUAAAGAGCGUGUAGGCGGCCUGGAAGGUCAGCUGUGAAAACUCGAGGCUCAACCUCGAGACGUCGGUUGAAACCACCUGGCUAGAGUCCGGAAGAGGAGAGUGGAAUUCCCGGUGUAGCGGUGAAAUGCGCAGAUAUCGGGAAGAACACCCGUGGCGAAGGCGGCUCUCUGGGACGGUACUGACGCUGAGACGCGAAAGCGUGGGGAGCGAACGGG